rnacentral:rRNA from 1 species
AUUGAACGCUGGCGGCAGGCCUAACACAUGCAAGUCGAACGGUAACAGGAAGAAGCUUGCUUCUUUCCUGACGAGUGGCGGACGUGUGAGUAAUGUCUGGGCAACUGCCUGAUGGAGGGGGAUAACUACUGGAAACGGUAGCUACUACCGCAUAACGUCGCAAGACGAAAAAGGGUGACCUUCGGGCCUCUUGCCAUCGCAUGUGCCCAGUUGGGAUUAGCUAGUAGGUGGGGUAACGGCUCACCUAGGCGACGAUCCGUAGCUGGUCUGAGAGGAUGACCAGCCACACUGGAACUGAGACACGGUCCAGACUCCUACGGGAGGCAGCAGUGGGGAAUAUUGCACAAUGGGCGAAAGCCUGAUGCAGCCAUGCCGCGUGUAUGAAGAAGGCCUUCGGGUUGUAAAGUACUUUAAGCGGGGAGGAAGGGAAUAAAGUUAAUACCUUUGUUUAUUGACGUUACCAACAGAAGAAGCACCGGCUAACUUCGUG